GAAAUGCGAUAAGUAAUGUGAAUUGCAGAAUUCAGUGAAUCAUCGAAUCUUUGAACGCACCUUGCGCUCCUUGGUAUUCCGAGGAGCAUGCCUGUUUGAGUGUCAUUAAAUUCUCAACCUCACCCGUUUUCUGAAUGGGACUGAGGCUUGGAUGUGGGGGUUUGUGCAGGCUGCCUUCUUGUGCGGUCUGCUCCCCUGAAAUGCAUUAGCGAGUUCAUACUGAACUUCCGUCUAUUGGUGUGAUAAUUAUCUACGCCGUGGACGAGGUUUAGACUUGCUUCUAACCGUCCGCAAGGACAAUACCUUGACAAUUUGACCUCAAAUCAGGUAGGACUACCCGCUGAACUUAAGC
rnacentral:misc_RNA from 1 species